rnacentral:rRNA from 1 species
AACGAACGCUGGCGGCAGGCCUAAAACAUGCAAGUCGAGCGGGCAUAGCAAUAUGUCAGCGGCGGACGGGUGAAUAACACGUGGGAACAUGCCCUUUGGUACGGAACAACUCAGGGAAACUUGAGCUAAUACCGUAUGUGCCGGUAACGGGAAAGAUUUAUCGCCAAAGGAUUGGCCCGCGUCCGAUUAGCUAGUUGGUGAGGUAACGGCUCACCAAGGCGACGAUCGGUAGCUGGUUUGAGAGAACGAUCAGCCACACUGGGACUGAGACACGGCCCAGACUCCUACGGGAGGCAGCAGUUGGGAAUCUUGGACAAUGGGGAAACCCUGAUCCAGCCAUGCCGCGUGAGCGAUGAAGGCCUUGGUUGUAAGU